AGAAUCAACGCUGGCGGCGUGCCUAACACAUGCAAGUCGAACGAGAAAGUGGAGCAAUCCAUGAGUACAGUGGCGACCGGGUGAGUAACACGUGACUACCUACCCUUGAGUGGGGGAUAACCUCGGGAAACCGAGGCUAAUACCGCAUAAUAUCGAGAGAUCAAAGGAGUAAUCCGCUUUUGGAGGGGGUCGCGGCUGAUUAGCUAGUUGGUAGGGUAAUGGCCUACAAAGGCGAAGAUCGGUAUCCGGCCUGAGCGGGCGCACGGACACACUGGAACUGAAACACGGUCCAGACUCCUACGGGAGGCAGCAGUGGGAAUUUUGCGCAAUGGGGGAAACCCUGACGCAGCAACGCCGCGUGGAGGAUGAAGCCCCUUGGGGUGUAAACUCCUUUCGACCGGGAAAAUAAUGAUGGUACCGGUGGAAGAAGCACCGGCUAACUCUGUGCCAGCAGCCGC
rnacentral:rRNA from 1 species